GUUGGCUGGAGUGCCAGAGUGGGCCACCCACGUCCGGAUAAAGGCCGGGCGAUGUCAGCUGCAGAUGGAGACGUGGGGGGACGGCCUCGGGCCAGCGUAUCACUGUGUCCACCAUGGUGAGGAGCUGUCCUUAACGGCAUCAUGAGGUGUGGAUCACCGAGGAGAGACUGCUGCUGAAAAUGUUCCUCAAUCCACUCAGAGCCAGCAAAAGGC